AUUGAACGCUGGCGGCAGGCCUAACACAUGCAAGUCGAAUGGUAACAGGAAACAGCUUGCUGUUUCGCUGACGAGUGGCGGACGGGUGAGUAAUGUCUGGGAAACUGCCUGAUGGAGGGGGAUAACUACUGGAAACGGUAGCUAAUACCGCAUAACGUCGCAAGACCAAAGAGGGGGGACCUUCGGGCCUCUUGCCAUCAGAUGUGCCAGAUGGGAUUAGCUAGUAGGUGGGGUAACGGCUCACCUAGGCGACGAUCCCUAGCUGGUCUGAGAGGAUGACCAGCCACACUGGAACUGAGACACGGUCCAGACUCCUACGGGAGGCAGCAGUGGGAAUAUUGCACAAUGGGCGCAAGCCUGAUGCAGCCAUGCCGCGUGUAUGAAGAAGGCCUCGGUUGUAAAGUACUUUCAGUCGGGAGGAAGGGAGUAAGUUAA
rnacentral:rRNA from 1 species